ACUGAGUUCGGCAUAUCAGGUUAAGUGUACUUUGAACUUAGAAUGGCAAGCCAGGAGAAAUGCAUAACUGGAAUCAGAAGUAUACAACUGGGGUGAGAGCUAGAAAAAUAGUCCUCAUGAAUUCUGUGUUUAGGUAGGAGCUAUCCCAGAAACUCUUAGCUGUUUUUAAGAUACUUUGGAAAGCUUCCUAAAAAGAUGAAAGAAACAUUUAUGUAGCAUCUAUUAUUCUCCAGGCUCUGUGAUGAGAUUUUUUCAUAUUUAAUUUCUUCCCAAACCCUGUGAAAUAGAUACUCUCUUCAUUUUCAGAAGAGUGUAUUCUGAGUAUUUUUGAGAUGGUGAAUCCUGAACUACAACUGCUGGCACCACUGACAUGGGCACUGAUAUUGCUCUAGCUGCAUCCACCAAAUGGUAGGUGUUUUGUACCAUAGUUCACAAUUGCUGACUCAGACUUAGGAAGGACCUCCAAUUAGCUGAGCUUGAGUCACACCCUGUGUCCUAUUUGCUAGGACUGGGAUUUGUGACUUUUGUAGUUGCAUGCUCCAAGAUUCACUAGUAGGACUCCUUCCUCCCACAGGAAGGGGGAUCAAAGGCUGGGAACUCUACAAACCAAUAAAAAUCCACUUCAAUGAGGAAAGCAGAAUUUAUAUGGCCAAGGGCACAGUAAAGCCCCAAGAGUCACAUACACGCUGAUGACAAUUCUACCCAUUGCCUACAAUCUCAGAGAUGUUCAAGGACAAUUCCAAGACCCAAGAAAACACUAGGCUGAGUGUAAGAAUACUUUUCCAAUUGACAGUUC
rnacentral:lncRNA from 1 species